AAAGCAGGCAGGGUUUCUUUGGCUCACAGACCCAGGCCUUGUAUAUGAAGCGUCCUCCCCUUCCCCAGGGCUUAAGUCCUAAAACCAGUGCUCCGUGCUGAAGGAUUCCAUGAAUCCCGGUUGGAUUUGGAAGCUUUGAGUGACCCAGACACAUGUUCCUCUUCCUCCUGCUCACAGGUACGGCCAGGCUUCUGCCAGUGCUCAAGAGACUCAGAAAAGUCCAGCUUGGCAUCAAGCACCGAGAAAAGACGUUAAAACAAACCACGUGUCCCCUUCCUUCCUGGCCACAAUCUGCCUGAUGGCUGUCAAACCUUCCAGGAUACUCAACGGCUGGCGCUUGCCUGCUGGGUUGCUGUCUUCCUCCUUCGCUUAUGCUUCCUGCCAGGCUCCUAAGAACUCCUGACACCAUGCCUGCAGCUUGAGCCUGUGCCUCCCUGCUCUGAUGGACUCAUCCCUCUGGAAGUGUAAGCCCGGUAAAAUUUUCCUUCUAUAAAUUGCCUUAUUCAUACAGCAAUUUUUAAAAAAGUAAUUGUUAACUUGACGGGAUUUAGAGUCAUCACGGAAACAAAUCUCUGAGCAGGCCCAUGAAGAAGUUUCUAGAUGUGGGGAAGAAUUACUGUGGUGGUUUGAAUAUGCUUGACCCAUUAUUUGGAAGUGGCAUUAUUUGGAGGUGUGGCCUUCUUGGAGUAGGCAUGGCCUUGUUGAAGUAGGCGUGGC
rnacentral:lncRNA from 1 species